rnacentral:lncRNA from 1 species
CGACGUAAGGCCUCCUCAUCGUGACGUCCCCCCUUCUUGGUAGCCACAACGUUGACAUCGGUAUAGACGUCUAUUUUACUGAAGGCCAGGGUGCCUUGACGUCGGCGCCGGCGUCCAUUUCGACAAGGGUGCCUCGACGUCGGUGUCCAUUUCGACAAGGAUGCCUCGACGUCGGCGUUUAUUUCGACAAGGGUGCCUCGACGUCAGCGUUUACUUCGACAAGGGUGCCUUGACAUCGGCGUUUACUUCAACAAGGGUGUCUCGACGUCGGCUUUAUUUCGACAAGGAAGGUUGCCUUGACGUCGGCAUUUAUUUCAACAAGGGUGCCUCGGCGUCGGCUUUAUUUCGACAAGGAAGGUUGCCUUGACGUCGGCGUUCAUUUCGACAAGGAUGCCUCAGUGUCGGUGUCUCGUUGUCGGCGUGGGUGUCCUCGUAAUCUCCUCAGCAUCAAUCUUAACAUCAGUUUAGGUGAUAACGACGACCCCCGCAACGACCGUCAUGGCUUGGAUACGUA